GCUUGUUUCUGCUCUAUCGAGAAUCCUGUGAUGAACCGAGCUCUCGUAGCCCCAGUAAUGUCCAUUCUCCUAGCACAGAAUAAUUUUUCAGUUCUGCUCAGUGUCACCGCUGAUGGAGCAUUUCCUGCUUUUCUUGUGGAUUGUCUCAGUCUUGCCCUUGUAUUUGAGCAACAGGGGCUUCUGCAUCCAGAGCAUCACUUUAGAGGAUUUUGCUCAGAUUUUCACCAUGGGACAAGCAAUUCGAGCCCCAAGAUCGGGUCUUGGCGUCUCCGCUGAAGUUCAUUCAGUGCGAGCAGCGUGGACACGGAAAGCAAGCCAGGUAUUAGACUCACACAGCUUGGAGGAACAUGAUUCGGGUUCAAAAUGACAUGAGAAGGUUGUGGUGAUCCUGAGGGCAGGCUUUCCGUCUCCCGGAUGGGAAAGAAUUUACGUCUUUAGUGGCAAACGGCCGAUCUGUCUCUGGUUGCAAAUCGACUCAGGGAAAGAGAAAGUUCACAUUCGUCGACCAACGUAAGAAAGUACUGCGGAGUCUUCAGGCCCUAGCACUUAGUAGGUGCGGAAUAAUAUGUUUUUUAACAUGAAUGAAUUAAAGAAAAGCUUGUUAUCUGUUGGCGGAUCCUUUUGACUGGUGAAAAUGAAGUGAUUAGGGGAGUAAAUGUCACACAUAUUACGUUCUUAUCGAAUGUUAAUUGAAGCAAUUAGUUGAAGGGGAUAUGCUCUGCCGGAACUACUGUGGGUAUGGUAUGUAUGACUAUUAUCAGUGACCUGGGUAAAAAGCAGGAGGGGAGAAUCCUGGCUGAGAAUCCUAAGGAACCAAAAACUGUCCACUUUAACCAAGGAAAAAAAACCCAGAGGCCUG
rnacentral:lncRNA from 1 species